rnacentral:pre_miRNA from 1 species
AAGUUGAAAGUAGAGCUCCUUUAAGUUCAAACGAGAGUUUAGUAGGGUAAAGAAAAGCUGCUAAGCUAUGGAUCCCAUAAGCCCUAAUCCUUAUAGAGAGAAAAAGGAUUUGGUUAUAUGGCUUGCAUAUCUUAGGAGCUUUAACUUGCCCUUUAAUUGCUUUUACUCUUCUUUGGAUUGAAGGGAGCUCUACAUCUUCAUUCU